CCUACGGGUGGCAGCAGUGAGGAAUAUUGGUCAAUGGACGAAAGUCUGAACCAGCCAUGCCGCGUGCAGGAUGACUGCUCUAUGAGUUGUAAACUGCUUUUGUAUGAGGGUAAACAGCCCUACGUGUAGGAGCUUGAAAGUAUCAUACGAAUAAGGAUCGGCUAACUCCGUGCCAGCAGCCGCGGUAAUACGGAGGAUCCAAGCGUUAUCCGGAUUUAUUGGGUUUAAAGGGUGCGUAGGCGGUUUGAUAAGUUAGAGGUGAAAUACCGAGGCUCAACACCGGAAUUGCAUCUGAUACUGGUGAACUAGAGUGUAGUUGCGGUAGGCGGAAUGUAUGGUGUAGCGGUGAAAUGCUUAGAGAUCAUAAAGAACACCGAUUGCGAAGGCAGCUCACCAAACUAUAUCUGACGCUGAGGCACGAAAGCGUGGGUAGCAAACAGGAUUAGAUACCCCUGUAGUC
rnacentral:rRNA from 1 species